UUGACCUCUAAUCAGGUAG
rnacentral:rRNA from 1 species